ensembl:miRNA
UAUGUGUGUGUACAUGUGUGUGUGUAUGGAGAGUGACACACACACACACACACACACACAGAUUCA